rnacentral:misc_RNA from 1 species
GAUGAAGAACGCAGCGAAAUGCGAUAAGUAGUGUGAAUUGCAGAAUUCAGUGAAUCAUCGAAUCUUUGAACGCACAUUGCGCCCCUUGGUAUUCCAUGGGGCAUGCCUGUUCGAGCGUCAUUUGUACCUUCAAUCUCUGCUUGGUGUUGGGUGUUUGUCUCGCCUCUGCGUGUAGACUCGCCUUAAAACAAUUGGCAGCCGGCGUAUUGAUUUCGGAGCGCAGUACAUCUCGCGCUUUGCACUCAUAACGACGACGUCCAAAAGUACAUUUUUACACUCUUGACCUCGGAUCAGGUAGGGAUACCCGCUGAACUUAAGCAUAUCAAUAAGCGGAGGA